GAUCAGUAGCCGGACUGAGAGGUUGACCGGCCACAUUGGGACUGAGAUACGGCCCAGACUCCUACGGGAGGCAGCAGUGGGGAAUAUUGGGCAAUGGGCGCAAGCCUGACCCAGCAACGCCGCGUGAAGGAAGAAGGCUUUCGGGUUGUAAACUUCUUUUAAGUGGGAAGAGCAGAAGACGGUACCACUUGAAUAAGCCACGGCUAACUACGUGCCAGCAGCCGCGGUAAUACGUAGGUGGCAAGCGUUGUCCGGAUUUACUGGGUGUAAAGGGCGUGCAGCCGGGCAUGCAAGUCAGAUGUGAAAUCUCAGGGCUUAACCCUGAAACUGCAUUUGAAACUGUAUGUCUUGAGUGCCGGAGAGGUAAUCGGAAUUCCUUGUGUAGCGGUGAAAUGCGUAGAUAUAAGGAAGAACACCAGUGGCGAAGGCGGAUUACUGGACGGUAACUGACGGUGAGGCGCGAAAGCGUGGAGAGCAAACAGGAUUAGAUACCCUGGUAGUCCACGCUGUAAACGAUGGAUACUAGGUGUGCGGGGACUGACCCCCUGCGUGCCGCAGUUAACACAAUAAGUAUCCCACCUGGGGAGUACGAUCGCAAGGUUGAAACUCAAAGGAAUUGACGGGGGCCCGCACAAGCGGUGGAUUAUGUGGUUUAAUUCGAAGCAACGCGAAGAACCUUACCAGGUCUUGACAUCCUGCUAACGAAGUAGAGAUACAUUAGGUGCCCUUCGGGGAAAGCAGAGACAGGUGGUGCAUGGUUGUCGUCAGCUCGUGUCGUGAGAUGUUGGGUUAAGUCCCGCAACGAGCGCAACCCCUAUUGUUAGUUGCUACGCAAGAGCACUCUAGCGAGACUGCCGUUGACAAAACGGAGGAAGGUGGGGACGACGUCAAAUCAUCAUGCCCCUUAUGACCUGGGCUACACACGUAAUACAAUGGCGGUCAACAAAGGGAUGCGAAGCCGCGAGGCAGAGCGAACCCCAAAAAGCCGUCCCAGUUCGGAUCGCAGGCUGCAACCCGCCUGCGUGAAGUCGGAAUCGCUAGUAAUCGUGGGUCAGCAUACCACGGUGAAUACGUUCCCGGGCCUUGUACACACCGCCCGUCACACCAUGAGAGUCGGGAACACCCGAAGUCCGUAGUCUAACCGCAAGGAGGACGCGGCCGAAGGUGGGUUCGAUAAUUGGGGUGAAGUCGUAACAAGGUAGCCGUUCGAGAACGAGCGGCUG
rnacentral:rRNA from 1 species